rnacentral:rRNA from 1 species
UACGUAGGGUGCAAGCGUUAAUCGGAAUUACUGGGCGUAAAGCGUGCGCAGGCGGUUGUGCAAGACAGAUGUGAAAUCCCCGGGCUUAACCCUGGGAACUGCAUUUGUGACUGCACGGCUAGAGUGCGGCAGAGGGGGGAUGGAAUUCCGCGUGUAGCAGUGAAAUGCGUAGAUAUGCGGAGGAACACCGAUGGCGAAGGCAAUCCCCUGGGGCCUGCACUGACGCUCAUGCACGAAAGCGUGGGGAGCAAACAGG